GAGGGUAUAGCUCAGUGGUAGAGUAUGUGCUUAGCAUGCACGAGGUCCUGGGUUCAACUCCCAGUACUUCUA
rnacentral:tRNA from 1 species